rnacentral:rRNA from 1 species
UGAGGAAUAUUGGACAAUGGGCGCAAGCCUGAACCAGCCAUGCCGCGUGCAGGAUGACUGCCCUAUGGGUUGUAAACUGCUUUUAUCAGGGAAUAAACCUUUCUACGUGUAGGAAGCUGAAGGUACCUGAUGAAUAAGCACCGGCUAACUCC